rnacentral:rRNA from 1 species
GACGAACGCUGGCGGCGAGCUUAACACAUGCAAGUCGAACGGUGAAGUAGAGCUUGCUCUAUGGAUCAGUGGCGAACGGGUGAGUAACACGUGGGCAACCUGCCCCAGACUCUGGGAUAACUCCUCGAAAGAGGGGCUAAUACCGGAUAUUUGCAUUGCAAGACAUCUUGUGAUGCAGAAAGAAUUUCGGUCUGGGAUGGGCCCGCGGCCUAUCAGCUUGUUGGUGAGGUAACGGCUCACCAAGGCGACGCCGGGUAGCCGGCCUGAAAGGGCGACCGGCCACGCUGGGACUGAGACACGGCCCAGACUCCGACGGGAGGCAGCAGUGGGGAAUAUUGGGCAAUGGGCGCAAGCCUGACCCAGAAACGCCGCGUGAGGGAUGAAGGUCCUCGGAUUGUAAACCUCUUUCAGCAGGGACGAAGCGAAAGUGACGGUACCUGCAGAAGAAGCACCGGCUAACUACGUGCCAGCCGCCGCCGUAA